GGUGUCAAUGUGCAAAUGGUAAGCCUAUUUACUUGAUAGCACUCCAAUUUUUAUAAGCUGUUUUAUUUUCCCUCCAGAUAGUUUGUUAAGAAGGAAGGAUUUACGAUUUAGCUGAAGCUGAAAUUUCUCAUUGUCCAUCAGCCCACAGAUUGUUAAUAGCUAGCUUUCAAAUUACACCGGAUAGGGACACAUUUUUUCCCCCUAUGAUGCGCAUCAUAUACCUGGGCUUUGUGUUUGCACUUGAUAAAGCCGUGGCCAAGAAUGAAUGUAUUCAUAAAAUUGUCUAUGCAAAAUACACAACAGAUAUAAGAUAGAGCUAUCUUUCAUAUACCGAUAUAUAUAUAUAGAGAGAGAGAGAGAGAGAGAGAGCUUGGCCAAAAAUAUUUCAUAAAUUAAUUCUAUCAGCAGAACUGAUUGAUCUCAUGCUGAUUUUUUAAUAUAUAUAUAUUUCAGAACAGUAAAUGGGAAACCAGAAAUAGUAUUUGCUCCCACUCCCCCUGUGUCUUAACACAUACUUGCACAACCUACUGGCAGAAGAUAAUGGAUUAUGAUCACUUCAACUCCAUAGUUAAUAUUAAACGUGAGAUUAUCGAAGUAGUGCUGCAUUUUAUAAUCUCUCGUGUGGAAAUGUUAUGCAAAUUAUUUGUAAAUGUGCUAGCCUCGGGAGCAAGACCAGCUCCUAUGGCAAAGGUAUCCUCAGUAAUUUAUGUCUCAAAAGUUUAACUGGGUAGAAGUUCUUUCUACAUUGUGCUGGAAAUGGAAAGAGCACCAUCUUGUGGGCAUGAGGAUGCAUUUACAGGAAAUUUCUUAGAGUGCACAGCACUGCAAAAAGCACUAUAAGGAACUGAGUUGGAGUAUAGAAUAUAAUUGCAGCAGUUGAUGCCACUACAGCUUCUUCCAUGUUUAUGGAAUCUUCUCACAACCUCCAGCAGUACUUCAGUGAUGCCAAAGUUCUCACACCAACUCUCUUUCCUGCACCACUCACAUAAUGUCAGAAUCGCAAGGCCAUGUUUAACAAUCAGGUGACACAGACACUAUUGAUGAUGGUGUCUCACAUCCCAGAAGCUGGGGCAACCCACCAUGAGAAGCAGUUCCAUAGUGGAUUCUAUCCACAAAACCCUGAAUGCAACUAAUGUGUCCUUGUAGCACAAUGAUUUCUAUUUGCACAGUGGGAUUUUCUCCAUCUCUCCUCCCAGCCCAUGCUUCCCACAAAUCUGCUCCAGAGGGUUGGAAGAACCCAGAGAACAUAUGUAGGGGGGAAAGAGGUGGAGUGGGACUCCUAAUACACAAGCAGAAAUCCUUGAGUUGAAGGAACCACAAUUUAGAGCAAAUUUGGAUAAACCUAGCAUGCCAGGUUUAAGCUGAGGCUCCAAUACUUUGGCCACCUCAUGAGAAGAGAAGACUCCCUGGAAAAGACCCUGAUGUUGGGAAAGAUGGAGGGCACAAGGAGAAGGGGAUUACAGAGGAUGAGAUGGUUGGAUAGUGUUCUCGAAGCUACUAGCAUGAUUUUGGCCAAACUGCGGGAGGCAGUGGAAGAUAGAAGUGCCUGGUGUGCUCUGGUCCAUGGGGUCACGAAGAGUCGGACACGACUAAACAACUAAACAACAACAACAAGAACAUGCCAGAAUUCACAGUUGGGCAGAUCCUUCAUUAGGGCCAACCAAAAAUGUCCCCAAAUAAUGGGCAAGCACAAUGAUUGGGUUCUGUCUGAAAGCCCAGUUGGGGUCUGAAGCACAAUAGAAUAUCCCCGAAUGGCAGAGAUGCUGACUUGGGCCCCAGGUUACAGGUGCCCAGCGCCUGUGCUGUGAUGUCAUGACUUCAAGUUGCAACAUGGCGUCACGACGUCACAUGCCUGGAAGCCUCGGAAGCUGACUUCCGGUGCCACCAGAAGUCAGGUUCUAAGGUCUUGCAAGGUCUUAGAGAGCAUCUCUGAGGUCUCACAAGGCCUUGGACGUGACUUCCAGUGCUUUGUGAAGGCACUGGAAGUUGCACCAGGGGCCCUUGUGGGUGCUGAGCACCCACAACUUUUUUUGUGGGUGCUUGGGCCCCCAGGGCUCCCUAUAGUUGGUGCCCCUGCUGAAUGGCAUCCUGGUGGGAUUCCACCAAGAGAUCUGAAUCAAUGGGGUUAUUAUUUUGUCAGGAUCAACCCUGAUGGAGAUAUCAGCCAGUAAGAGGGUUGACUCAUCCAGGGCACAAACCCAGUGCCUGUGCCCAAAUCCAUCUUAUAUCCGUAAUCUUACUGCAGCCAUUUGGACCACACUGUCAUUUUCAUUGCCUCUGUGGCCACCAAAUAUUGUCAAAUGCCAAACAAGUACCAUUCCACAUCAGCUUUCAUAUGCUGUCUAAAUAUUAUGUCAAGUCAAUUAUCAAAAAACUGUUAAGUGUCAAAUAUUGAAAGCAUAUAUCAAAGUAAAAUCUCAAAUAUUUAAAUCAAGUAUCAUUGGAUGCCAGUAUUCAGAGAAUAUCCAGUAAGCAGUUGGCAGAGGAUCAAAUUUUGCAAGCAUCAUAUAUAUUUUAUUCAUUUCGUUCUAUUUUUUCCAGUUCUGCUACUGACGUCUGACUACAUUAUUAUGAAAGACAAAUCACAGCCAAAAGUAAUUUGAAAUUGCAGUCAUGGCCUACCAAAUGAUCAAUCUAGACAUUUUUUAAAAAAUAAAAUAAAAAUAUUAAUUUCUAGACAGGUUUCUGUGUAAACAUGAAGUUAAAGGUACAAGUCUGAUUUUUAAAGGCAGGUAGUAGAAUCACAGAUGAUAGCAUUUUGAUGAAAAACUAAUCAGUGUUUCACUUCAAUAAAUUGCUCUCUUUGAUAAAUAUACAACUUUGCACCUUUUUUUACACUGUGGCAGAAUUUCAAUUGACUUUGCUUUAUUUGCUAAUUCGCAACUUGUAAUUCAUCAUUGAAUUACAUAGUUGUUUAUUAAGAAAUGUAGCCCUCAGGCUGAAAGAGGAUCUUGUUUUUUAGUUUUUUAUUUAUACUUUUCAAUUUUAUACAUUUCAUUAAUUUUACAAUCCAUUUAACAUUUCAAAAUUUGACUUCCUUCCCCCUCUUUCUGCAGUUCCUUAAAUUUAUUUUUUCAUACCUUUUGCAUAUCCAAAUUCAUUUAACUUGCUCAUUUAAUUUCUACUGUAAAUAUAUACUCUUUACAAAACUGCCGGUUGUUACAAUAAUCCUGCUAAUGUUUUUAUCUGCUUACAAUUUAUCUGUAAAUAUUCAAUAAACCAUUUCCAUUCUUUCAGCAACAUAUUAUAAGAAGUUGCAGGGUUAUCUUAGACAAUCAUUAAAGGGCAUUAUGAAUAUGGUUUUAAAUACAGGUGAGCUGCCAGAAUCAUGGAAGGAAGAGGAUCCCCGUUGUAAAAGAAAUGCCAACUUUCCCUCCCUAACAGAGAAGGUACGGAACAGCAUCAGAACGUGAUGAUGAAAUGAUUUGGGUCAGAGGAGUCGUCAUUUGAAUCUCAGCCAGCCAAAAGGUGGGUUUUUUUAAAAAAAAAUUAAAACAGGUAUUCAAAGUGUUCACCGUAAAACAAAAAGCAUAUUCUCAGAGAGAGGUUGAUUUGUCUGAGAAAGUGUUAGAUCAUUUAUCACAGGGAUGCCUGCUUUGUGCGAUGAACCAAGGAACCAUUCGGGAAUAUAAUUUCAACCAAAGAGAGAGCACCUGCAACUUGCAAGUUGAAGAAAAACCAAUAACAUUUAACAGGUGGACAAUUGCUUUUCAAAGACAUUUAACACUAUAGCAAGAAGAGAUCCAGAAAUCUGUCUCAGCUUUGAAGCAGAAGACAUUUUCCCUACUUUGUCAAAGCGCCAUCACUUGCUUUUUUAAGUCUUUCAGAUGAGUGUGUCGCUCCUUGAAAGCCUAUUUGCUAUAUUGAAAAAGUCCUAGUCUACAUUCUACCCUACACAGAGUUCACUCGGUAACAUAGCAUUGCUUUUGUUUGCAGGGCUGCUAAGAAAGGAUGUUGCAUUUGUAGAUUUAGAGAAGGGUGUGUGUGUGUGUGUGUGUGUGUGUGUGUGUGUGUGUUUGUGUGUUUAUUGCCGGGACUUUAAAAAGCAGCAACUGCACCUUUCACUUCCAAUUCCAAUGUAAACUGAUAAUCUUUUUAGGCCAAAAUUAGAGCAGAAAACAACUACAGUGGAUCUCAGAGCAACUGAGCAUCAGUAAAAACCCACAUCGCUAAGACGUCCAGGAACCUCACCAAAAUGCUGGAGAGGGUGCACCUCCACAGGCACAUACCUCCACAUGUGGUGGGAGUGCCCCAAAAUCCAACUAUUCUGGACAACAACCAUACGAGAAAUAAGUAAAAUAACCAAGCAAGUAUUAGAAAUCACCCCAGAAUUGGCCUUACUAAACAUCUUCCAAGACAACAAUGCCCACUUACACCACAAAGAACUCAUAACCCACCUACUUUGAGCAGCCAGAAGCAUCAUAGCCAGACACCGGAGAGACCUGUCAGGAGUAAGCAUGUACCAAUGGUACCAAAUAGUAUAUGGGAAACAGCCCUACUAGAAAAAUUAACCAAUAAACUGAAACUGAAACAGGGGCAAAUAGAAGAAGACACCUUCACCCCAGUAUGGCUCCCCUUUAUCACAUACACAGUCCAACAAGACAACGACAAAAAUCCACCAACGGCAUACAAAUCAAUAUGGCUAACCUGAUCCAAAACACCCAACCCACCCCACUCGCACAUGAAAACAAAGACCAACACAGCCAACCACAAAUGAAUUACCACACCCUAGACCAACCCCAACCUCUCUCACCACCAAAGGAACACAAGUGAACAGCAAAGAACCUGCACAAGCAAUGUUGACACCAAACCCUCCUAAUGUCUCAACAAAUGAAACUGAUUUGUAAAAAUGUUACAUGUGGAAAAAAAUACGAGAGAAAGACACUGCAAACACUUUUGUAAAUCAAGAAAAUCUAUAAUAAUAAUAAUAAUAAUAAUAAUAAUAAUAAUAAUAAUAAUGUAAAACCCACAUCGGCAUGCUAGUUCUUUGUCUACCAAGCUCAGACACACAGGCAAUACCCUAUAGCUUGUCUCAGUGAUAUGACUAGCCUGGGCACAGGUCACCAUGUGACUGAGCCUCAGGUAGGGAUAUAAGGAGGCACUGAUUUCUAUUUCAUCCUGUGCACAUCACAAGCAGCACAGUUUCCAUUCAGCUCCCUUUGCCUUCUCCUAAAUCCUCUGUCAUUUGUCUCGUUAUCUGCUGUGGCUGAAGCUAAGGUCAUGAAUUGUGCAAUUAAUUACGUAAUUGAUGUAACACAUUUCAGUGGAAGGGAAAUGUAUCUACAAAUACAUUUCAGGAUUUUUGUAAAAUCGUUAUUAGAAACGCAGGCUUACGGUUGCAAUACUCUACAUACCAAGAAAAGUCUUGUUGGUCUUAAUUCUGAGUAGACAUGUAUUUUGUUGGGCUUUUGUUUCCAUCAGCAAGAGCCAGCAUGGUCAGUAAUCAGGCAUGUAAAGUAAAGGUAAAGGACCUGUGGAUGGUCAUGUCCAGUCAAAGGCAACUAUAGGGUUGCAGCGCUCAUCUCGCUUUCAGGCCUAGGGAGCCAGCGUUUGUCCACAGACAGCUUUCCGGGUCAUGUGUCCAGCAUGACUAAACCACUUCUGGCACAACGGGUCACCGUGAUGGAAGCCAGAGCGCACAGGAACACCAUUUACCUUCCCACCACAGUGGUACCUAUUUAACUACUUGCACUGGUAUGCUUUCAAACUGCUAGGUUGGCAGGAGCUGGGACAGAGCAACGGGAGCUCGCUCCGUCGCAGGGAUUCGAACCGCCGACCUUCUGAUUGGCAAGCCCAAGAGGCUCAGUGGUUUAGACCACAGCGCCACCCGUGUGAUUGGUCAGUAAUCAGACAUGAUGUUGAUCGUGCAACACAAGCUCAACGGAUAGCUCAGUUAGUUAGAGCGCGGUGCUGAUAAUGCCAAGGAUAUAGGUUCAAUCCCCGUAUGGGACAGCUGCAUAUUCCUGCAUUUGCAGGGGGAUGAAUGAGAUGAUCAUCAGUAUCCCUUCCAAAUCUACAGUUCUAUGAUGUAUGUUUAAGCCUGAAAUAGGUAUUUAAAUAUGUAUUUUUUAAGUAUGAUUCUAUGAUUUUUUGAUCCCUGACCUAUAAUCUCAGGAGAGGUGUGCCUCCUUCUCUCAUAAAUAGGAAAUAUUACUUCUAAGGUGGUUCCUACACAUUUUUCAUUUAAUAAUAAUAAUAAUAAUAAUAGAAAAUACCAUUUCCUUCAGAAUGAGGAUUUGGUUCAUAUGAACAUUUUAGCAGAUACAAUUUGAUUAAUUAGUCAAAUAACACUCCUUAGCUGGGAGACAGCCUUACUUAUUGUAAAGCGCUGCUCACUGCUUCUCUCUCAUUUUUUCUCUCUUCAGAGUCUGCCCGUAUGUAUGAAUAGUGUUGAUUAGAAUUGAUUUCCUGCCAAAUGUGAUGCCUUCCAUGAAGAAGAACUUGUGUAUUCAAGAAAUACCCUCCACUGGUUUUGCAAGUCUUGAUGCGCAGGCAGAUGAGCUUGGAAUUUCAAAAGGUAAAAAAAAGUCAUAAACCCCAAGAGACAAGCAGG